CUUUAUCAGUUUAUGUUUGCGGAUCUUGGAGCCCAACACUGCAAUAGCGGCUGCAAUAUUUGAAUUAAAAGGAAAAGUUUGAGUAUCGUAGCGGAAAACAUUGUUAACUUUUAGGGAUUCAGAUUUGUGUUGUUGCUUGUUAUAGCAUUGCUGAAUUGGAUGGAAGAAAGAAUGCAUCCCUUUAAUCAGAUGUUGGAUGUAUGUCUGUCUUCAUUAUAUUCUAAGGUGCUUCUGAUGCUUGCCUUCAGGAAAUUCUUUUGAGCUCCAGAAAGUUGGACGGUUUGCCUCGUGGCAUAAUACAAGCUAGGUCGGAUCUAGAGGCCUUUAUGGCUGACUAGUUCAAAGUUAACGGUUGAUUAAGCAAUCACAAUUUACUGGCUAUGCAGCUGGUAUUAAGCAGAAACAUAGUGUUGAUGAUAUUGUGCAAAAGUUUCUUCCAGAAAACUUUACGAUUAUACUAUUCCAUUAUGAUGGGAAUGUUAAAGGGUGGUGGGAUCUUGAGUGGAGUAACCAGGCCAUACACAUAGUUGCCCACAACCAAACAAAGUGGUGGUUUGCAAAACGAUUUCUACAUCCAGAUGUUGUGUCCAUUUAUGAUUACAUAUUCCUUUGGGAUGAAGAUUUGGGGGUUUAGGAUAUGAUUACAUAUUCCUUUGGGAUGAAGAUUUGGGGGUUUAGGAUUUUAAAGGAUUAUGUUCCAACUGUAUUUGACAACUUCAGUGCUAAUGUUUUGGUUGAUGGGCAGACUGUGAAUCUGGGUCUCUGGGAUACUGCUGGACAGAUGUGGUAUCAUUAAUCAUUGCCGCAUGGUCGAUUUAACCAUGGUUUCAGUUGCUGUAAAUUUUGUUGCUUUUUGGAGGCUAUUGAUUACUUCCCAAUCUUUAGAUAUUUAAGAAUUAAACUUUGAUCUGAUAUAAGGAGUGCCCCCUACACUUGAAAGAAGCAAUAUCCAGUGUGUGUUUUGCUGCACCAAGAUGUGCUGAUCUGCCAGAGUUGCUUCAAGUUCAAAUCUGCCUUCACCAAACAUGAUCAAUAGUAUGAGAUAUCAGUGUUUUUUGGGUUCCAUUUGUUGAUCAUGCCAACUGCUAUGGGUUAUUGAACUGAUGUUUACUAAGUUUAGCUCCAUUAUGAAUGUUGGUAUUUUUAUGAAUGGAUUCCAUA